rnacentral:rRNA from 1 species
CCUACGGGUGGCAGCAGUGAGGAAUAUUGGUCAAUGGGCGUAAGCCUGAACCAGCCAAGUCGCGUGAGGGAUGAAGGUUCUAUGGAUCGUAAACCUCUUUUAUAAGGGAAUAAAGUGUGGGACGUGUCCUAUUUUGUAUGUACCUUAUGAAUAAGGAUCGGCUAACUCCGUGCCAGCAGCCGUGGUAAUACGGAGGAUCCGAGCGUUAUCCGGAUUUAUUGGGUUUAAAGGGUGCGUAGGCGGCCUUUUAAGUCAGCGGUGAAAGUCUGUGGCUCAACCAUGGAAUUGCCGUUGAAACUGGGUGGCUUGAGUACGUUAGAGGCAGGCGGAAUGCGUGGUGUAGCGGUGAAAUGCUUAGAUAUCACGCAGAACCCCGAUUGCGAAGGCAGCCUGCCGAGCCAUGACUGACGCUGAUGCACGAAAGCGUGGGGAUCAAACAGGAUUAGAUACCCUUGUAGUC